AUGGCGGAGCUACCCGACAUAUCGCACCUCACCCCCGAGGAGAGGCGCAUCAUAGAAAGUGUUAUGAUACGGCAGAAGCAGGAGGAGGAACAGGAGAAUGAGAUCAUGAGACGAAAGCAGGAUGAGGUGCAGGUCCUCGAGCAGACGAUACGGAUGCGUUCGGAGAAACAGAAGAAGGCGGGGGUGGAGCUGAACGCUACGUGUCACAUAUGCCUGAAAACCAAGUUCGCCGACGGCGUCGGCCACAUCUGCAAUUACUGCGACAUCCGGUGCUGCGCACGUUGCGGCGGAAAGGUCACUCUACGGUCGAGCAAGGUAAUAUGGGUGUGCAUACUCUGCCGGAAGAAGCAGGAACUUCUUUCGAAGACCGGACAAUGGAUGACGAAGACUGGCCUCGCCGCCGCGGACAGCGCGAUGCUGCGACAAAUGCAAGAGGACAUGCAGGUGGGUGGUCCUCAGGGACUCGUGGACCAAACUCAGGAUAAAAGACCGAAACUCGAGAGGGCGCACAGCGCGGCUGAGAAAGAGAAUUUGCCGUUGUUACAGAGAAGCGGAAACUGUCUGCUCAAGAGACAGUACUCCCAGCAGGACCAGAUCGCGGGUAGCCGAAUGUCCGCCGACAACGAGGUGGAGAUAGCAGUUUCGCCUCACGUGAGAACUUUACCGACACCUCACAUGGUGGUCGGUUCUUAUCCGAUGCAACAAACCCUGCGACACCCCGCAGUCUUCCCUGACGACGAUCCCAAUUUAUACCAAGGCGAAAUCGACGGUUUGAUGAGGCAACUUCCGCAGAACUAUCAGAGGCAACGGCCGACCUAUCCGGAUCAGAACGUCGAUCUCGGGAUGACUUACGGCCAGACGACGGUGGAAUCCGUUCCCGUUCGGACCGCGAUGCAGCAGCAUUCGAUGCAUCAGACACAAGCCGGACAUCCCGUUCAACCUGUUGUGGGCGUCCAGCAACAAAGGAGCUUCAGCAGCAGCGAAGAGGAACGAAGCACGCCGGAGUGCGCGAGCGACGAGCCGGACGAGUCGGAGAAGGGGAAGGGGUACUACCACCACGCGGGAGGUCCGAAAUCGAUGUCCAGUGGUGGGCGUAGGCACAACGGACCCCACAAUGGGCACCACGGUGCUGGCGCGAUGACCGUCGAGCAUAACGGCCACCAUCCACCGCGAGAGCCGCGAAAAGAAGAGAACACCCUCGUCAGACGGAGCUUCCGCAGGUGCGGCGACGAGUGGCGCGCCGAUAGUAGGAGGUUCACGGAGAGGAGGGGGAAAAAGACAGUGCGUUUUGACGGUGGGACCAAUGUCGGCGGCCCUCAGGAGGAAUGGUCUUGGGAGGCCGAUCGACAGGGUAGUCAAGACAGCGCGACCAAAGAUUCCGGCAUAGACACCUCUAGCACCUUCACGAGCAGUGAAGACAGCAACAGGGGCGAUCUGCCCAAGCAUCCGUUAUCCUGGCAAGUGAGCAGAGACGGUCAGAAGAUCAUCGGCCACAUGGUCUUGCGAAAAUCGGCAAAUCCGCAAUCCGGCUUCGACAGCGGUAGUAGUAUACUCGGACUAAAAGUUGUCGGUGGCAAGCUACUGGAAGACGGUUCCAUGGGCGCUUUCAUCGAGAAGGUGAAAGAGGGUAGUACGGCGGACAUAGAAGGUCGACUUAGACCCGGUGACGAGGUGAUCAAGUGGAACAGAAGAUCCCUCCAAGGCAAGAGCUUCGAUGUCGUUGCCGAGAUCAUCCGCGAGUCGAGGCUGGAGCCGCAAAUCGAGCUCAUAGUUUCGCGAAACUUGUCCUCGACGACAACCGGCGCGAUGCCCGCAGGACCGGGCCCGUCGACGCCGAUGGCAUCGAGGAGGAUCGUCGCGCAGAGUCAAUGGAGGCAGAAACACGAGACCAUCUCCGGACCUCAGCAACCGCAUCACAAAGGUCUUAAGAAAUGUAUUCUAUGGGAGUUGUACGACGCGAGGCGUGAGAAACCGUCGGUUUUAGUGACGUCGCCCGGCUCGCCGGACCUGCACGCCCAAGGACGCGGUCGACCCUCCCGACAUCCGACCGGAAAUGCGAGCGUGGAGGGUAGUAUCCAGGUGAAGCUGGAUUUCGAUCCCGUAGCACUUCAAUUGUUCGUCACAAUAAUUUGCGCCGAGGGCCUCUCGCUGCGGAACAACGGCCAGCCUAGAAAUCCCUACGCCAAAGUGUUCCUGCUGCCCGACAGAAGCGAGAAGUCGAAGCGGCGCACGAAGACCGUGGCGAAUACAAACGAUCCCAAAUGGAAUCAGUAUUUCGUUUACAAUGGAAUCAGACAUACGGAACUGCGGAAAAGAACAUUAGAGAUUACGGUCUGGGACUACAUGAAGUACGAUGUGAACGAUUUUCUCGGCGAGGUUGUCCUGGAAUUAGCAGUAUAUCCUUUAAACGAGGAUCCAGAAUGGCAUGCCCUGACCGCUCACGGGGAGCACCGGCAUUACCAAGAUUCCGACGACAUGAUAGAUUGUCACCUGAGCCCACCGUCGACCACUUCGAGAUUAAGCGACUCCGACACCUCAGAAUGCGACAUCACGGAUUGCGACGUGCCGAGGGAACAAAGGAGAACGAACGAUGGUGCCAGCAUAAGCAGUAUCGGCAGUUCCUCCAGGUUUCAUAAUAUGCCGUCAAAUUAUAAGCGCCACUAUUCUAGCCCGCCGCCGGAGAGGGAGCUCUGCAUCGACGGUGAGCACCGGAGUCGGAGGGACAUGUCGCCUCAAGGACGUAAAAGGGCCGCCCUCAUGAUAUCUCGCGACCAAUCCGCGUCUAUAUCGAGUUACCAGACAUAUCGUAAGGACGACAUGCAGCGGGGAAUGAUGGGUCAUAGGUCUCACAGCGCGGCGCCUAUGGACUCGUCGAGCGUUCGAUACCGAGGAAGGUCUCAGAGCCCCACCGGUCAUCGUUCCCUGUCUCCGCCCGAGCAUAGAUCCAUCCCCUUCGCGCACACAUAUGUUUAUGCGGCGAGAUUGGGCUCAAGGUCGGCGACCGCCACCCCCACUGGGUCGCCGAAGAAACGCCACCUACCUCCAGUCCCGCCAGUCUUGCAGGAGAGGGUCACGCAAGAUCUGGAGGAGCGAGUGAGAUUCAUGAAGCAUCGCAACAGGCCGAUGCACACGACAUACAGAAGCACCGGUAUGGGAGGCUGGGAGAAGCAUCGCAGCGGCCUCUCGGACCCGGAUCUCCCGUCGAUCGGGCACGAUCCUCUAAUGCUGCCGCACAGCCACGCUCACAGGAUGCACAGACCGCGAAAAGGACUCUUGAGUCCCGACAAAGACGUACUCGGUGAUCCCGGGGAUUCUGACAUAGAGAGCAUAGCCUCGGUAACGAGCAGUGCCUUUAGUACACAAUCGGAGCGACCACGUGGAUCGAGAGCGCUAACCGAGUACGGCGGUCAGUCGAGCUCGUACGAGAAGAUGUCCAGACAUCAGGUGAUCGACAACGGGCACGACGAGCACGGCAAGAGGAGUCCGUUCACCAGGAGUCUCAGUAACGCCGACGUGCCGCAGGAUGAGAAAGACGCGGGUAGUUUCAGCGAUACAGCGAUCGCGUUGAACGUCGAGGACACGUCGAGGAGAAGCCGCAAGAGCUCGCCGGGCAGCAAGAGCGGGAGCGGCAGCAGCUGCGGCAGCGCCAGCGCCGUGCAGUAUCAGGCCGGCCUCGGGAAGAAGAGCAACAGCACCAGCCAGUUGUCCGCGACAGAGUGCGGCAUUGACGGGAUGUUCGUCGUUGGCGGAAGCGCUGGCGCUGUGACACGCGGCACCGGCAUUGCGAGCCGGAAGCGCAACAGUACGCCGAGCAGCAUACAACGAUCCGAGGAGAUCAUGCCGACCUAUCAGCGCUUUGACCCCGGCAAAUCGGCAGGAUCGGCAGUCAACGAUAUCGCCCGGAGUCUCAACUCGAUUCCUACUGCCGAAGGAAACUCUUGGUCUUCGAAUCUGCGAAUGGCAGGUGAAACCGGGCAGUUGAAGGACUUCAUCGAAGAUCUCGGACCGGGCCAAGUGGUCGGGAGGCAAGCUCUCGGCGGCCGUACCCUAGGCGAGAUCCAAUUGUCAUUGAACCAGAAGAAGGGUUACCUAGAGAUCGAGGUCAUACGUGCCAAAGACUUGAAAGCGAAACAAGGAAGUAAACUGAUCCCAGCUUCUUACGUGAAGCUCUACGUGGUGAACGGUAAACGAUGCAUAGCGAAAGCGAAAACCGUGCUGGCCAGGAAAACGCUGGACCCCUUCUAUCAACAAUUGUUGGCUUUCAAAGAGAACUGUCGGGGUUGUAUAUUGCAGGUGACGGUGUGGGGUGACUACGGCCGGUUUGAAGGGAGAAAAGUGUUCAUGGGUAUUGCACAGAUCGUAUUGGAUGAGCUGAACCUCAAUGACCCGGUGAUCGGCUGGUACAAGCUGUUCAGCACCACAUCCCUGAAACACCAGUAGUACAUCACAUAUCAUGUACGGCAUAUCAGACGAGCCACUAGUCUGUAUGUAGACUAGAUGUAGACGUAGCAGCCAUGUUCCCGGAGCGCCAGAUAGUUUUAGUGAAAACAAACCAAAUCAAGCAAGUACGGGGUAGAUGGAACUCGAAUGUGGUGUAUUAGGUAACCAAAGAUGUGAGACGCUGUCGAUGACACUCGGUUUAACGGUGAACUUAAAUGAUUUAAGUGAGUAAGAAAAAUUCACGAGCGCAAGUGAGAAUGACGGGGUGACGCGGACGCUCCGGGCCAGACUACGAUUUAAUUGUGUGGAAGAAAUUAAAAGGAAAAACAAAAAGAAAAAAAAUAUGUUGAACAGAGCGUGUCUGUGUGUAUACAUACA
rnacentral:misc_RNA from 1 species